AGAAGGGUAGAGGAAUAGGUCAACUCAUCAGGCUCAUAACUUGAAGGUUGCAGGUCCAAUCCUGUCCCCACCUA
rnacentral:tRNA from 1 species